UCCGCAGGGGGUUUGUCAAGUCUGAUGUGAAAUCUCGAGGCUUAACCUCGAAACUGCAUUGGAAACUGGCAGACUAGAGUAUCGGAGAGGAGAGUGGAAUUCCUGGUGUAGCGGUGGAAUGCGUAGAUAUCAGGAAGAACACCAACAGCGAAGGCAGCUCUCUGGACGAUUACUGACCCUCAUGGACGAAAGCGUGGGUAGCAAACAGGAUUAGAUACCCUGGUAGUCC
rnacentral:rRNA from 1 species